rnacentral:rRNA from 1 species
AUGCCUCCAUUGGCAAAGCAACUCACAAUGGCUUCCUCUUCCUCAUUGUUUCUCCUUGCAGCCCUCCUUGCGCUGGCCUCAUGGCAGGCCACUGCCUAUGAUCCUAGCCCUCUUCAGGACUUCUGCAUUGCCGACAUGAAGGCGCCUGUGCGAGUAAAUGGAUUUGCUUGCAAGGACCCAAUGGCCGCAACCCCGGAAGACUUCUUCAACGCAGCCAUGCUCGAUCAGCCUAGGGAUACUAAGGCGAGCAAGGUCAGGUCUAACGUCACCAACAUCAAUGUUAUAAAUUUCCCCGGCCUCAACACCCUCGGCAUCUCGUUGGCACGCAUCGACUAUGGACCAUUAGGUGUGAACACGCCACACAUACACCCUCGUGCCACUGAGCUCCUCACGGUGCUCGAGGGGACACUCUACCUUGGAUUUGUCACAUCCAACCCAAACAGGCUCUUCUCAAAGAUAGUUAAGAAGGGUGAUGUAUUCGUAUUCCCAAAAGCAAUGAUCCACUUCCAAAUGAACCUAGCGCAUGACAAGCCAGCAGCCGCGUUGUCCUCGCUCAGCAGCCAAAACCCUGGAGUUAUUUCUAUUGCCAAUGCAGUGUUUGGAUCAAAGCCACCGAUUUCGGAUGAUGUCUUAGCCACGGCAUUUCAGGUGGAGAAGGAUCUGAUUCACUGGCUUCAAUCUCAGUUCUGGGGGAACACCAACUACUAA